rnacentral:rRNA from 1 species
UACGUAGGGUGCGAGCGUUAAUCGGAAUUACUGGGCGUAAAGCGUGCGCAGGCGACGCGUUAAGACAGGUGUGAAAGCCCCGAGCUUAACUUGGGAAUUGCGCUUGUGACUGGCGUGCUGGAGUGUGGCAGAGGGAGGUGGAAUUCCACGUGUAGCAGUGAAAUGCGUAGAGAUGUGGAGGAACACCGAUGGCGAAGGCAGCCUCCUGGGCCAGCACUGACGCUCAUGCACGAAAGCGUGGGGAGCAAACAGG